GUCCCAGGGGUGUCACACGUGGAGUUGCAAACUCCAAAACGCAGUUUGUUCCUGCCGGGGCU
rnacentral:tRNA from 1 species